ensembl:snRNA U6 U6 spliceosomal RNA
GUGCUCACUUUGGUGGCAUAUAUACUAAAAUUGAAAUAAUGCAGAGAAGAUUAGCAUGGCCCCUGCACAAGGAUGACAUGCAAACUUGUAAAGCAUUCUGUAGUUUU